rnacentral:lncRNA from 1 species
GGUUGGUAGUAAAUUUAAUGCAUUAUUCUUUCUAAUUUUCUAUUUCCAAUUUAACAUCCUGGUUAGUAUUCACACAGGAUAUCCAAUAGAAAUAGAAAUGAUUGCAAAGCUAGAAAAUAAUAAAACAUAUUUAAGUUUUCUGGUAUCUGUAUAUUCUUUCAUAAUAUUGGGAUAACAAAAUUUCCCUCUAUGACGUGUUGGUGUUACAUAAAUGAAAAAAAUGAUUUUUUGGAUUUUUUUUCUAUCUCUUAUGUGCUACAACUUCUCUCCUGAUACACAAUAGAGCAAUUAUCUGACUGCGAGACAUAACCGAAUUUUGACUUUUGUUGAUAUUUCUAUUUACAUUCUUUUAUCUAUUACUCUAAAUUUAGUCAAUUGUCUAUAUAUACACAUAUAUAAACGUCUAUAUUUUAUAUAUACACAUAUAUAAACCUCUAUAUUUUAUAUAUACACAUAUAUAAACCUCUAUAUUUUAUAUAUACACAUAUAUAAACCUCUAUAUUUUAUAUAUACACAUAAAUAAACCUCUAUAUUUUAUAUAUACACGUAUAUAAACCUCUAUAUUUUAUAUAUACACGUAUAUAAACCUCUAUAUUUUAUAUAUACACGUAUAUAAAACUCUAUAUUUUAUAUAUACAUAUAUAAAACUCUAUAUUUUAUAUAUACAUAUAUAAACUCUAUAUUUUAUAUAUAUACAUAUAUAAACUCUAUAUUUUAUAUAUAUACACAUAUAAACUCUAUAUUUUAUAUAUAUACACAUAUAAACUCUAUAUUUUAUAUAUAUACACAUAUAAACUCUAUAUUUUAUAUAUAUACACAUAUAAACUCUAUAUUUUAUAUAUAUACACAUAUAAACUCUAUAUUUUAUAUAUAUACACAUAUAAACUCUAUAUUUUAUAUAUAUACACAUAUAAACUCUAUAUUUUAUAUAUAUACAUAUAUAUAUAACCGUGUUUAUAUAUAUAUAGUGCAUCUAAGCUUUUCAUACAGUUUUAGAGGGGUAUUUUAAAAUAUUAAAUGAUUUUUAAUUUGAAUUUGAAGACUAUAAAUUGUCUUUCACACAUUUUCUUUUACAUUUCCUUCUUGUUGAGCUAAGCUGUUAGAUAUUGGUUUUUCUCAUAUAAAUUUUAAUUACAAUAAUAAUUACAUUUUUCAAAAACUGACUGGUUUUACAAUAUAAUAUUCCCAAGUAGUUAUACAUUCAUUCUUACAUAUUUAACUAUUUUUUUCUGACUAAGUUACAUAUUUAACUACUUUUUUCUGACUAAGAAUAUUACUUUUUUUCUGCUUAAAAAUUUUUUUUAUUAAGAUUAUAUAAUCUAAAAAAGACUUGAAAGUUCCAAUGCAGGAGCAGAUACAGGAAUCAUUCAAUAAAAUUGGGAUUGACAACAGGUAUAAGUUUAAAAGAGGUGUACUUGAAUUCAGAUCUUAAGCCAGGACCCGAAAUUAAAAUUAAACUGUAUUUGUUGAGCAAUUCUAAGACACAUAAACCAUAGGAAUUAGGAUAAAACCAUUCAGAAAGACUACUAGUUAAUUCAAUUGAUUUUCUGUUAAUAGAAAAUGCUAAUUAAUAAGAAUUUAUUUGUAAGAUCAGGCUUGAAAGUGAAUAUGUACUUACCCAAAAUUUCACAUUCCGUCCUACAUUAUCAUAUGUGUUUGCUUUUCUCUUUUCAACAAAGCUCCUGUUCACAGAGAGCUCAUGUCAUUUCUUUUGUUGAGUCCUGUCACCUUUGCCAAUAGUUUCUCACAGACACCGAGGAAGUGAAGGAAGUGGCUUUAAUCAACUGGAAGCAACAGCAGACUAAUGUCUCAAAAUCUGAGCUUCUCGAGUGCACAAUUUCUCUCCCUUUUAAGGGCUCACAAUGCUGAAGAUUUUACAUGAAAGGGCAGUGCUUGAUUGAGCAAUCUAGGGGGUAUGUGACAGGGGCUGCAUGCACUGGUAGUCAGAGUGAAACAGAACAGAACGGGAAGUUUCCCAAUGUCCUUCCAUACAAUGUCUGGAAUCUAUGGAUAACAUCAGUUGCUAGGUCAUGGGUUGAAUUUUAACUACCAGGUUAGGUCUGGCAGGCCCAGGUCUGGUUUUGGGUCUGGUUUUGGGUCUGGUGCCUGGUGCUGGGCUGCCUGCCUUUGGUUUUGCUUCCUUGUUUCUUCUUAAAACAGGUACUGAGCAUAAAACAACAUGGGGGUGUCUCUUUCUCUCUUCUCUCAUUUCCCCCCUUUGAGACCCUCACUUAUUUUAUUAGUGGGAGUUCUCACUUUCAUUUUCACUACUUAUGUCUUCCUGUGCAAUAGAUUGAUAGUGAUUCAUAUAAUAUACUUGUGCUGAAGCAUUCUGGUGAACUAGGGUAGCAAUGAAGCUUUUUAUCAUUUGAAGAAGUACAGGUAGCAAACAAGGGAGUAGUAAGCAGGUUCCUAUUACUAUUAUAACUCCUAUUAUAAGAGUUUCAAAUCCUCCUAUUGCUGGGAACCAAGUUCCAAACAUGGCCCCAGGAUCAAAUCCCUGCCACACUUGCACAGGUACAUGUGCCAGUUUUGUUAUAUCUUUAACUAUGUCUUCAGCUAAUUGCCCCUGAUAAUCUAUGUGUAGACAGCAAUUAGUAAGGUUAAAUUUUCCACAAACCCCUCCUUCAGCUGCUAGCAAGUAGUUGAGAGCUAGUCUAUUUUGGUAGAUAGCAUUUCUCAUCUGAGUCUCUUGCCGGACAAGAACAGUCAAGGCUGGACCGGUUUUAUUAGUAAUAAUUUCUGAAACAGCUUGUAACCAUAUGAUUUGGUUGAGCAUGUAGAUGGGGAUCUGAUAUACCUAUGAGCCAUCUUGUGCCCAAGUGGUGGGCCCCUAGUAUUGUAUAUUUCUUUCAGGGGGCCAUUCAUCAUCUUUCCUGUUACCUAUGGCUAGGCUUCGCUUUUCGCAGGAAGCAUAGACAGGGAAUCCUAGGAGUUUGCCUGUUUUUAUGGGCAGUAGGAAGAAAGAUGGUUUAAUACUGCCAAUUACACAACUACCUGUCCACUGAUCAGGUAGCUUAGCAUAGGCUCUAAGUCCACAUAUCCAGUAUAACACAGUAGGGGCUGUCCAGUCCCGGUGCAAUUCUGGAUGGGCCCAAAUGGCCUGUAAUCUUGGAUAUUUACUGAAUGGAUUUUUUUUUCUGUGUGGUUUGAACUCCACCAUGUAACUGUUUUUAUGGUACCAUUAUACAGUUUCUGUCCAAGACAACUAAGCAAUCCUACAGGAUGAGUGAAUUAUUUUCCUUCUCUAGCUAUGCAAUAUUGCCCAGUAACUGAGACUUUUAGAACCCAGAAAUUGUCAGGGUGGUUCUUUUGGGCUGGGAAUUCAUCAGGAACUGGGUCCGUAGGGACUAAUUCUCAGUCUUCCCAUGGCCAUUGAUCUUCUGUUACAGUUCCUCCACAGACAUAACAUGAAGUGACUUUUAAAGACUGUGCUACAUGCUCGGCUAAUUGCAAAAACAAAUUUCUAGUUUUUCCUGGAAUCUCAGGUACUGGCACAUUUAGUUCAUCAUAGAAAGUCUGAAAUACUGGCUCUGGAGAGCAUUUUUGAACCUCCCCUUUUAUUAAGAUAUUUACUCUAGGAUCUAGUCCUUUUCCAUCAAUGCCUAGAGAUACGUGCUCUCCUUUUUCCCACUUUGGGUCUGAGGGAUUUAUAAUUAUUAAUUCUAAAGGGUAGCAGCUUCCAUUUGUGCAGGAGGGGCUGCUUUUUCCUUUUUGGAGCCAAACAAUAUCUUUUUAAUCUUUUUUCCAAGUAGCCCAGAUGAUACAAGACCAGUACUGACACACAUUUGUACAUGAAUAUGAUUCAUGGCAGACAUACUUAUUUCCUGCUGUGUAACUCUUUUCCCAAUCUCUAGAACAGCAUCCUAGUCCUUGCUGAUUACUAUUAAUAGUGGCCCAAGUGUCAAAUUUUAGAGUUUCAUGUUUGGGGACCCCUCUUUCUUCUGUUCUAGCUAUUACUUUACUUGUGUCACCUAGAAAAGGACCAGUGCUUAGUCUUAUUUCAAAAACCGUGAUCAUGGGAGGUUCAGAGGGGUCAUAGCACACAUCUGGCUGAUCACUUCUUGGAUUACAUACUUUGUACUGAGUGUUAUUAUAUAAACAGGUUCCUUUUCGAGUUCCUGGGCACUCAUAAAAACUAUAGAACAAAAAGAUUGUCUUAACUUGUUGUCCUACCUCAGUGAUCUGAUGCAUGCACUGAAAGCAGUCCUCUGUGUGGGAAGAAGCAGUGGAAGCUUUUACCACACAAGUCCGUGUCAUGAGGAAAAUAAGUCCCACGACGAUUUUCCUCAUGCUUCCACCAUGUGUAGAUCAGUCAGCUUCUGGGUGUGACUGAAGCAGGGCUUGUGGUCCUCCUCAUGGUCACUUUACGGGGAUUGUCCAGGCUUGGUUUGGCCUCCCAGGUUUCAGUGGCUGCAGGCUUUAAGCAGCUGUGGUGAAUCCAGGCCGGGAUUCCUUCCACCUUUACAGCUGUGGGAGUGGUCAGGAUAAUGGUCUGGGGUCCUUUCCACUGUGCCCGCAAAGGGGCUACGUUCCAGUCCUGGAUCCACAUACGGUCACCUGGAGAAAAAGGGUGAACUGGGGAGAAUAAGCUGACAGGGUACCUCUCAUUUACCCAAGUUGCGAUUGUCUCAGUAAUUUUCCCCAAGGCCUGUAGCUGUCACUGCAAUUCAAUUUCACCCAACUCUUGGGGAGUACCCGGAAGUCCUCGCAGUAUAGGAGGAGGCCUAUGAUAUAAUAUUUCAUAAGGGGAGUAUCCUGUUUUCUUAAAGGGGUACACCUAAUUUUAAACAAUACCAUAGGAAGGGCCUGUAUCCAUUUUAAUCCUGUCUCUUGACAUACUUUCCCUAAACUAUUUUUGAUAGUCCGAUUCAUUCGCUCCACCUUUCCGGAACUCUGAGGUCGGUAGGCAGCAUGUAACUUCCAUGUGAUUCCCAGUACCUUUGCUGUCUUCUGUACUAAGUCAGCCACAAAUGCCGGCUCAUUAUCUGAGCCGAUCCAUAGAGGCAGUCCAAACCUAGGGAUGAGAUCUCUAAGAAGCACACGGGUUACUUCACCAGCUUUUGCAGUUUGUGUCGGAUAAGCCUCUACCCACCCAGAGUAAGUACACACUAGAAUCAGUAAAUACUUGUUACCUCCGCAUUAGGGAAUCUCUGAGAAGUCCACUUGAAGAUCUUCAAAAGGAGCUGCUCCAUAGGCUUGUAUGCUGGGAGGAACAGAGGGGCCUUGCUUUGCAUUGUGCUGUUGACAGGUAAUGCAUCGCUGCACUACUGUUUUAGUAAGAGCUGGCAAGUGUGAGAUGUAGAAGUACCGGCUUAACAGCUUUUCAAGUGACUCUUGGCCUAAAUGGGUAGUUUCAUGUACAGCUAGCACGACUGGGGCUCCUAGCAGCUAUUCUCCCAUCUGGUAACUUUAUCCAUCCUUCUUUUAUUGUUUGUCCUCCCUCUGCCUGAAGAAAGUCUUUUUCCUCUUUAGAAUAAAUAGGGACCAGAGCAGGUGUUUGAGGGAGUAGAGGGGCUGUGACUGAUGCCCGGUAGGGAGUCGAUGCUGCUUUUCAUGCCUCUGUGUCUGCUCGGGAGUUUCCUCAGCUCACUGAGGUGGAAACUCACUGGUGUCCCCUGCAAUGCAUGACUGCCACCUUUUGCGGUUUCCACACUGCCUCAAAUAAUUGUAGAAUUUCUUGUUGAUAUUUUAUGUCCUUUCCCCCAGAAUUUAACAGGGCUUUUUCUUUAUAUAAUGCCCCAUGUACUUGAAGGGUUAGAAAGUCAUAUCGAGAGUAAGUAUAAAUGUUUAUAGUUUUACCUUCACUGAGUUCUAGAGCCUGAGUUAAAGCAAUAAGUUCUGCUUUCUGGACCGAAGUGCCCUGAGGCAAUGACUUGGCUUCAAUAACAUUAUCCGAGGUUACCACCACAUAUCCUGCACAUCUUUCUCCUCGUGGGUUGAUGAAGCUGCUCUCAUCCGUGUAUAAGUCCCAGUCUACUGAUGCCCAUGACUGGUCUUGAAGAUCGGGUCUGCUAGAAUAGACUGAGUCCAACACCUCUACACAGUUAUGUUCAACAGGGCUGUCUGAUACUGGGAGCAAGGUGGCAGGAUUUAAAGUAUUAUAGAGUUCAGUGGUUAUGGAGGGGUUUUCACACAAUAAGCUUUGGUACUUGGUUAAUCUAGCAUUCGUUAUCCAAUGGUGUCCUUUGGUAUUCAUUAAAGUUACCACCACAUGGGAGGCCUUUAUAUUUAAGUUUUGCCCAAGAGUUAGCUUAUCUGCUUCUUGUGCUAACAGGGCUGUAGCUGCCAUGGCUUUCAGACAUGGAGGCCAGCCUUUUGAAACUCCGUCUAGCUGUUUUGAGAGGUAGGCCACUGGUCUUGGCCAGGGCCCCACAGUUUGAGUUAAAACUCCGAAUGCCAUUUUUUCUCUUUCUGACACAUAAAGUGUGAAGGGCUUGGUCAAAUCUGGUAGUCCCAGAGCUGGGGCUGACAUAAGUUUUUCUUUUAACUUACAAAAGGCUUGCUGUUGUAGAGGCCUCCAUUCAAAGGGCUCCCAUUCGCCCCCCUUUGUAGCCCCAUACAAUGGUUUGGCUAGCACAGCAAAGUUUGGAAUCCAUAAUCUGCAAAACCCCACAGCUCCUAGAAAUUCCCUUACUUGCCUUCUGGUUUUAGGUUCCAGUAGACUGCAGAUGACCUGCUUUCUUUCUGACCCCAGGCUGCGCUCCCCUGUCUGCAGAUCUGAGCUUUCUUCUUGGACACCUUAUAUCCACAGUCCUUCAGGUGCUGAAGUAGGGCAUCCAUCCCUUUUGCACACCCGAUGCCACGAAGUGUCCCAGCAGAAGGUCAUCCAUAUACUGGAGCAAGACACAGCCUAGGCCUUUAGCAGGAAACUUCUGGAGGUCUUGAGCCAAUGCCUCCCCGAAGAUGGUGGGGGAAUUUUUGAACCCUUGGGGAAGCUGAGUCCAAGUGUACUGAGUGGUGACACCUGACCCCGGGUCUUGCCACUGAAAGACAAACAGCUUUUGGCUCUCAGCAGCUAGUCUGAUGAUAAAGAAGGCAUCCUUCAAGUCCAGGCAAGUGGUGAACCAGCCCUCCUCAGCCGGCAGCAAUCCCAACAGUGUGUAAUGGUUAGGAACAGUUGGGUGCAGAGUCACGAUAGCUUGGUUAACCAAGCAUAAGUCCUGUAUGGGUCAAUAGUCCUUGGUCCCUGGCUUGGGGACAGGUAGGAGGGGGUGUUCCAUGCAGACUGGCAAGGAACUAUAAUUCCAAAAGCUUUCAAGCAUCUAAGAUGAGCCUGUAUUCCUUCAAGAGCUUCCCUGGGAACCAGAUACUGCUUUUGUCUGAUUGGCUGGACCCCAGGCUUAACUUCUGGACUUCAAAUACGUGACAAUAGAGACAAAUGAAUGAGGAAAAGAAAUACAAAAAUAUACCUUUUAUCAUGAGGAUUAUUCUUUCCUGAAGGACGCGUGAGACAUUUGGUGCAGAAGACCUGGGUCAGAGGGACUCCUUCGGGAGACCAGUCUCCUGUCCUCAUCCUCACUCCGUGAAGAGAUCCACCUAUGACUUUGGGUCCUCAGACCAACCAGCCCAAGGAACAUCUCACCAAUUUCAAAUUGGGUAAGCGGUCUUUUCACUCUCUUCUCCAGGCUCUCUCGCUACCCUUCAAUCUCCCUGUCCUUCCAAUUCCUGUUCUUUUUCCUCUCUAGUAGAGACAAAGGAGACACAUUUUAUCAGUGGACCCAAAACUCCGGCACAGGUCACGGACUCAGAAAGACAGCCUUCCCUUGGUGUUUAAUCAUUGUGGGGAUGCCUGCCUGAUUAUUCACUCACAUUCCAUUGGUGUCUGAUCACCACGGGGACGCCUGCCUUGGUCAUUCACUCACAUUCCCAUGGUGAUCUCCUCAGCUUAGCAGUUGAAGACUGAUGCUGCCUGAUCACCUCAGAAGCCCCCUGGACCAUCAAGGAUGCCGAGCUUCAAGUAACUCUUACAGUGGAGGGUAAGUCCAUCCCUUGUUUAAUCGAUAACGGGGGCUACCCACUCCACAUUACCUUCUUUUGAAGGGCCUGUUUUCCCUUGGCCCCAUAACUGUUCUGAGUAUUGACAGCCAAGCUUCAAAACCCCUUAAAACUCCCCCACUCUGGUGCCAACUUGGACAACAUUCUUUUAUGUACUCUUUUUCAGUUAUCCCCACCUGCCCAGUUCCCUUAUUAGGCCGAGACAUUUUAACCAAAUUAUCUGCUUCCCUGAUUAUUCCUGGACCACAGCCACAUCUCAUUGCCACCCUUCUUCCCAACCCAGAGCCUCCUUCACAUCUUCCUCUCAUAUCCCCCCACCUUAACCCACAAGUAUGGGACACCUCCACACCCUCCCUGGCAACCGAUCACAUGCCCAUUACUAUCUCGUUAAAACCUAAUCACCCCACCCAAUGCCAGUAUCCCAUCCCAUAACAGGCUUUAAGGGGAUUAAA